rnacentral:rRNA from 1 species
CCCUUAGAUGUUCUGGGCGGCCCGCGCACUACAUUGACACUGGCAACAAGAUCCUAGAUCUGGUAUUUCGGGGUAUUCUACCAACUGGUGUCGUGACUGGGAUUAACCCCUGCAAUUAUUGGUUAUGAACGAGGAAUUCCUUGUAAUCACGGUUUAUCAACCCGUGUUGAAUGCGUCCCUGCCCUUUGUACACACCGCCCGUCGCUCCUACCGAUGAAUCGUCCGGUGAAGUUCAUGGAGUCGCGGCUGCUCCAGCUGUUUUCGAAGUGAAAUGGACCUCAUGAUUUAGAGGAAGGAGAAGUCGUAACA